GAUGAACGCUGGCGGCGUGCCUAAUACAUGCAAGUCGAACGCUGGAACUCUAGCUUGCUAGAUUGAAGGAGUGGCGAACGGGUGAGUAAUACAUAAGCAACCUACCCACGAAGACUGGGAUAAUCUCUGGAAACGGGGACUAAUACCGGAUAGGUAAUCGGAAGGCAUCUUCUGAUUAUUAAAGGUUAAAAACACUGGUGGAUGGGCUUAUGGCGCAUUAGUUAGUUGGUGAGGUAACGGCCCACCAAGACGAUGAUGCGUAGCCGGCCUGGGAGGGUGAACGGCCACAUUGGGACUGAGACACAGACCAGACUCCUACGGGAGGCAGCAGUAGGGAAGUUUCGGCAAGGGAGGAAACCCUGACCGAGCAGCGCCGCGUGAGAGAUGACGGCCGUCGGGGUGUAAAGCUCUGUUGUAAGAGAAGAACGGUAGAUAGAGAAUAUCUAAAUGACGGUACCUUACCAGAAAGCCACGGCUAACUACGUG
rnacentral:rRNA from 1 species